GGCCGGCUAGCUGAGUUAGUAUAGCACGAGAUUCUUAAUUUCGGUCGGGACGUGGGUUCCAAUCCCACGUUGGACG